AGUGAGGAAUAUUGCACAAUGGGGGGAACCCUGAUGCAGCAACGCCGCGUGGAGGAUGACGCAUUUCGGUGUGUAAACUCCUUUUAUAUGUCAAGAAAAUGACGGUAGCAUAUGAAUAAGCACCGGCUAACUCCGUGCCAGCAGCCGCGGUAAUACGGAGGGUGCAAGCGUUACUCGGAAUCACUGGGCGUAAAGGACGCGUAGGCGGGUUGGAAAGUCUGAUGUGAAAUCCUACAGCUUAACUGUAGAACUGCAUUGGAAACUUCCAACCUAGAGUAUGGGAGGGGGAGAUGGAAUUAGUGGUGUAGGGGUAAAAUCCGUAGAUAUCACUAGGAAUACCGAAAGCGAAGGCGAUCUCCUGGAACAUAACUGACGCUAAGGCGUGAAAGCGUGGGGAGCAAACGGGAUUAGAUACCCCGGUAGUCCACGCCCUAAACGAUGAACACUAGUCGUCGGGAUGCUUGUCAUCUCGGUGAUGCACUUAACAGAUUAAGUGUUCCGCCUGGGGAGUACGGUCGCAAGAUUAAAACUCAAAGGAAUAGACGGGGACCCGCACAAGUGGUGGAGCAUGUGGUUUAAUUCGAAGAUACGCGAAGAACCUUACCUAGCCUUGACAUUGAUUGAAUUCACCAGAGAUGGAGAAGUGCCCUUCGGGGAACAUGAAAACAGGUGCUGCACGGCUGUCGUCAGCUCGUGUCGUGAGAUGUUGGGUUAAGUCCCGCAACGAGCGCAACCCUCGUCCUUAGUUGCCAGCAGGUUAAGCUGGGCACUCUAAGGAGACUGCCUUCGCAAGGAGGAGGAAGGUGAGGACGACGUCAAGUCAUCAUGGCCCUUACGGCUAGGGCUACACACGUGCUACAAUGGGGCGUACAGAGUGUUGCGAUACCGCGAGGUGGAGCUAAUCACUUAAAGCGUCUCUCAGUUCGGAUUGGAGUCUGCAACUCGACUCCAUGAAGCUGGAAUCACUAGUAAUCGUAGAUCAGCAAUGCUACGGUGAAUACGU
rnacentral:rRNA from 1 species